rnacentral:rRNA from 1 species
GACGAACGUUGGCGGCGUGCUUAACACAUGCAAGUCGAACGGAAAGGCCCUGCUUUUGUGGGGUGCUCGAGUGGCGAACGGGUGAGUAACACGUGAGUAACCUGCCCUUGACUUUGGGAUAACUUCAGGAAACUGGGGCUAAUACCAGAUAGGAGCUCCUGCUGCAUGGUGGGGGUUGGAAAGUUUCGGCGGUUGGGGAUGGACUCGCGGCUUAUCAGCUUGUUGGUGGGGUAGUGGCUUACCAAGGCUUUGACGGGUAGCCGGCCUGAGAGGGUGACCGGCCACAUUGGGACUGAGAUACGGCCCAGACUCCUACGGGAGGCAGCAGUGGGGAAUAUUGCACAAUGGGCGGAAGCCUGAUGCAGCAACGCCGCGUGCGGGAUGACGGCCUUCGGGUUGUAAACCGCUUUCGCCUGUGACGAAGCGUGAGUGACGGUAAUGGGUAAAGAAGCACCGGCUAACUACGUGCCAGCAGCCGCGGUGAUACGUAGGGUGCGAGCGUUGUCCGGAUUUAUUGGGCGUAAAGGGCUCGUAGGUGGUUGAUCGCGUCGGNAAGUGUAAUCUUGGGGCUUAACCCUGAGCGUGCUUACGAUACGGGUUGACUUUGAGGAAGGUAGGGGAGAAUGGAAUUCCUGGUGGAGCGGUGGAAUGCGCAGAUAUCAGGAGGAACACCAGUGGGCGAAAGGCGGUUCUCUGGGCCUUUCCUGACGCUGAGGAGCGAAAGCGUGGGGAGCGAACAGGCUUAGAUACCCUGGUAGUCCACGCUGUAAACGGUGGGUACUAGGUGUGGGGUCCAUUCCACGGGUUCCGUGCCGUAGCUAACGCUUUAAGUACCCCGCCUGGGGAGUACGGCCGCAAGGCUAAAACUCAAAGGAAUUGACGGGGCCCCGCACAAGCGGCGGAGCAUGCGGAUUAAUUCGAUGCAACGCGUAGAACCUUACCUGGGUUUGACAUGGAUCGGGAGUGCUCAGAGAUGGGUGUGCCUCUUUUGGGGUCGGUUCACAGGUGAUGCAUGCCUGUCGUCAGCUCGUGUCGUGAGAUGUUGGGUUAAGUCCCGCAACGAGCGCAACCCUUGUUCACUGUUGCCAGCACGUUAUGGUGGGGACUCAGUGGAGACCGCCGGGGUCAACUCGGAGGAAGGUGGGGAUGACGUCAAGUCCUCAUGCCCCUUAUGUCCAGGGCUUCACGCAUGCUACAAUGGCUGGUACAGAGAGUGGCGAGCCUGUGAGGGUGAGCGAAUCUCGGAAAGCCGGUCUCAGUUCGGAUUGGGGUCUGCAACUCGACCUCAUGAAGUCGGAGUCGCUAGUAAUCGCAGAUCAGCAACGCUGCGGUGAAUACGUUCCCGGG